rnacentral:rRNA from 1 species
GACGAACGCUGGCGGCGUGCUUAACACAUGCAAGUCGAACGGAAAGGCCCUGCGUUUGUUGGGUGCUCGAGUGGCGAACGGGUGAGUAACACGUGUGUAACCUGCCCUUGACUUUGGGAUAACUCCAGGAAACUGCGGCUAAUACCGGAGAGGAGCUCCUGCUCCAUGUGGGGCGUUGGAAAGAUUCGGCGGUGGGGGAUGGACUCGCGGCUUAUCAGCUUGUUGGUGGGGUAGUGGCUUACCAAGGCUUUGACGGGUAGCCGGCCUGAGAGGGUGACCGGCCACAUUGGGACUGAGAUACGGAGCAGAAUCCUACGGGAGGCAGCAGUGGGGAGUAUUGCACAGUGGGCGGAAGCCUGAUGCAGCAACGCCGCGUGCGGGAUGACGGCCUUCGGGUUGUAAACCGCUUUCGCCUGUGACGAAGCGUGAGUGACGGUAAUGGGUAAAGAAGCACCGGCUAACUACGUG